rnacentral:rRNA from 1 species
GAUGAACGCUGGCGGCGUGCCUAACACAUGCAAGUCGAACGAAGACAUACCGACGGAAUCCUUCGGGAGGAAGAUGGUAUGGACUGAGUGGCGGACGGGUGAGUAACGCGUGGGUAACCUGCCCUGUACAGGGGGACAACAGUUAGAAAUGACUGCUAAUACCGCAUGAGCGCACAGUACCGCAUGGUACAGUGCGAAAAACUCCGGUGGUACAGGAUGGGCCCGCGUCUGAUUAGUUAGUUGGCGGGGUAACGGCCCACCAAGACGACGAUCAGUAGCCGGCUUGAGAGAGUGAACGGCCACAUUGGGACUGAGACACGGCCCAAACUCCUACGGGAGGCAGCAGUGGGGAAUAUUGCACAAUGGGGGAAACCCUGAUGCAGCAACGCCGCGUGAGUGAAGAAGUAUUUCGGUAUGUAAAGCUCUAUCAGCAGGGAAGAAA